UACGAACCACACAAGCGUUAUUCGGAAUUACUGGGCUUAAAGGGUGCGUAGGCGGCGCAGAAAGUAGGGUGUGAAAUCCCUCGGCUCAACCGAGGAACUGCGCCCUAAACUACUGUGCUCGAGGGAGGUAGAGGUGAGCGGAACUUAGGGUGGAGCGGUGAAAUGCGUUGAGAUCCUAAGGAACACCGGUGGCGAAAGCGGCUCACUGGACCUCUUCUGACGCUGAGGCACGAGAGCUAGGGUAGCGAACGGG
rnacentral:rRNA from 1 species